GUGGGGAAUUUUGGACAAUGGGCGAAAGCCUGAUCCAGCAAUGCCGCGUGCAGGAUGAAGGCCCUCGGGUUGUAAACUGCUUUUGUACGGAACGAAAAGCCUGGGGCUAAUAUCCCCGGGUCAUGACGGUACCGUAAGAAUAAGCACCGGCUAACUACGUGCCAGCAGCCGCGGUAAUACGUAGGGUGCAAGCGUUAAUCGGAAUUACUUGGCGUAAAGCGUGCGCAGGCGGUUUUGUAAGACAGUGGUGAAAUCCCAGGGCUCAACCUGGGAACUGCCAUUGUGACUGCAAGGCUAGAGUGCGGCAGAGGGGGAUGGAAUUCCGCGUGUAGCAGUGAAAUGCGUAGAUAUGCGGAGGAACACCGAUGGCGAAGGCAAUCCCCUGGGCCUGCACUGACGCUCAUGCACGAAAGCGUGGGGAGCAAACAGGAUUAGAAACCCGUGUAGUCC
rnacentral:rRNA from 1 species